ACAAAGAUGUGCAAAUGUAAAUGCAACGAGUUGUAUGAAUGAAUGUUCAUAUGAUAUGAAGCAGAUGAUGAUGAUGAUAUGGAUAUUCAUUGGCAUAGUUGUGAUGCUUUGUUCU
rnacentral:sRNA from 1 species